rnacentral:lncRNA from 1 species
CCAGAACUCACAACUUAGUCCCUUAGGUUUCUAUAAGUCGUUUUGAAGAUGAGGCUUUGAAUUUCUGAGGAUUCGUUUUUCAGGAGAGCUCCAAGAAAGGCUGAAGUCCCUUAGAGGUAGUGGUGAAGUAAUAUUCUGAUUUGUCUUUGUGGACAGGAUCAGAUAAUAAUUUUAUACUGAAUUUCAAUAGUGACUAUUAGGGGCCAAACACAGUGAUCCCAAGUCUUCUGUGUCAUUUUUACAUUCAGGUUUAGCAGGCACACACAGAACUGCUGAAGCAAUAGGCAGAAUGUUAUUAUUACUCCUGGCUAGAAAAUUCUCUAGACAUUCUUUUUGGUUGUUGACACUAAAUGGAAAGUGAUAUUAGAAAAAACCCGAAAGUUUUAUUAGGUAUUUUGUGUUUUCAAAGUGCAUUGUAGUUGUUGGUUUUCCUUUAUCCUGCUGUGACAGCAGAUGGGAAUGCCAUCAGUGAUGUCCAUGGGCUUCAGCAUGAGGUGGGGGUCAGUGAUCAUUCUGGCCUCUUGCCCAGGAGAUGGAAAGGAAUGACUCAGUUUUCUUGGCUGAGUUCCAAGGAGGUCUUGGGAGAGCCCUUCACCUGAGCUGGUACUGAAACCGUUAACACUUCUCCAAAUUCGUAGUACUUGUCCUCAGGGUAGAGGCGAUGCUAAUGAUAUACUUGUUUCUACUGAUGUGCGUGUGUGUGCCUGUAUCCACUCCUGCUGCCAGUCCACACUCAUAACUCCACAAAGGGACAACUGACCUUGACGUUUACUAUCUCUUAGGUGUCAGUUUAGGAAGGGAUGUUCUGCAUUUCAGAGGUAGUCGUAGCCAAAGAAUCCAGCUGCCACGAUGAAGUAUUGGGCAGCUCUGUGGAUGAAGCCUUGGAUUGGCAGGUCAGGCUGUCUAUCUGACUCAAAAGUUUGGACGUUGUCCAUGGAUGUCCUUAUUUGUGAGGUCACAUUCUAAAGAGAAGGGCCCCCUUAAGCCAUGUCUGAAGAGUAAGUCAGGGGUGCCUGGGGCAGGUUUCCACUGCAUGCCCAUGCUACUUUAACUUCCCCCUAGAUCUGCUCCAGACACCUUUCAGUUCACUUCAAAUUUCUGCCGCUAACAUUUUCUUGGUACCUGGCUGCAUAAUACCCCAUUUGUGACCUCUGCGCCAGGAAUUCUGAACAACUCUACUGUGUACAGGUUUCACUCUUCUUCUGGGAACAUCAGCCCCUCCUCUGGGAAAUACUCCUGCCUGUACCCCAAGCAGUUGAUCUGAAUGUGAGCUGCCAUCUUCCUACAGACCUUGUAGCUGGCCACAGGACCCUUUGUACCACGCCAUGCUGCCUUCAAUGUGGUCAGGAGGGAGAGCUCCUUGAGAACCGAAUGCUAAAGCUUUCAAUUCUUCCAGACUGCAACAGCAACGUCAGUGAGCACUUUGCAAGACUGAAGAACAGAAGGAAGUAGCUUUUUAC